rnacentral:rRNA from 1 species
GAUGAACGCUAGCGGCAGGCCUAACACAUGCAAGUCGAGGGGUAGAAGGAGCUUGCUCCUUUGAGACCGGCGCACGGGUGCGUAACGCGUAUGCAAUCUACCUUGUACAGGGGAAUAGCCCAGAGAAAUUUGGAUUAAUGCCCCAUAGUAUAUAACCUUCGCAUGUUGGUUAUAUUAAAGUUCCAACGGUACAAGAUGAGCAUGCGUCCCAUUAGUUAGUUGGUAAGGUAACGGCUUACCAAGACGAUGAUGGGUAGGGGUCCUGAGAGGGAGAUCCCCCACACUGGGACUACGACACGGACCAGACUCCUACGGGAGGCAGCAGUGAGGAAUAUUGGUCAAUGAUCGCAAGACUGAACCAGCCAUGCCGCGUGCAGGAAGACGGUCCUAUGGAUUGUAAACUGCUUUUAUACAGGAAGAAACCCUCCCACGUGUGGGAGCUUGACGGUACUGUAGGAAUAAGGAUCGGCUAACUCCGUG